AUCUGGGCCUCCCAAAGUGCCAGGAUUACAGGCGUGAGCCACCGUGCCCAGUCAACUUGUUUUUCUGGUUUUCCAUGGUUUUCUAUGACUUGAACCUAGUUCUUCAGAAGCUAAUAGAUAAUAAUAAUGGCUUUUCCCCAAUUUAUACUAAAAAACAGUACAAAACAGCAGAGUAAAUGUCUAUUAGUGGGUGAAAGUGCAUAAUGCUUAGUUCAUUAGCUUUUUUAAAAAAUCACAUGUAAUUGUGUCCCAAAAAUACAUAUAUAGUAAUGGUAUUUAUUGGUAUUACUUGGUUUGUGUGAUAGAAUAAAAUGUUAGAAUUUUAUGGUGUUUGAAUUAGUUAUCUAUUGCUCUUUAACUAAUUUAGCAGCUCAAAACAACAAACAUUAUCUCAGUUUCUGUGGGUCAGGAUUCUGUCCUGUUUACCUUGGAUUCACUGGCUUGGCCUCUCACCAGACAGUGAAGGUGUUGGUGGCAGCUGAGAUCCAUCCCAAGGCAGGAUAGGGAGAUAAUCCACCUCCGAGCUCACAUUGGCAGGAUUCAUCUCAGAGGCUGUUGGACUGGGCCUCCUUUUCUAGAUGGCUACUGGUCAGAGGCCUUUUACAAUACCUUGCUAUGUGGGCCUCUCCAUAGGGCACCUCAUCACAUGGCAACUGGCUUCCAUCAGAGGGAGCAAUGGAGAGAGCAGGAGAACGGUGACCAAGGCAGGCAUCAUAGUCUCCUUGUAGCCUCACCUCAGAAGUGAUGUUAUUACUUUUGCUGUAUACUCCUUGGUAGAAGUGAGUCACUAGGUCCAGGGAUGGGAAUUUUACAAAGGUGUGAAUGGCAGGAGGUGAGGGUGAUCGGGCCCAUUUAGAGGCUGCCUACCAGUGUUGAAGAAAAUUGUUGACUUCUAUGAGCUGUAGCAGCAGACAGUGCUAUGCAAGGAGAAUGGCUGUCUGAGAAGUCCAGCACCUCAUAGGGGUUUUAAUGUGUUACCUUUUCCCCGAUACAUUUUGUUUAAAUCCGUGGUCGUCUUGCCAUUUAGUGGUGUGGUUUAAUUGCAUAUUUGGAUUAGUCUGUAUGUAAACGUUUAACACAGGUGUCUCUGUGCUAAACGGGAAUCCUAUUCAUCUUCUUCACCAAUAUGGUUUGUGGACUCUGAUGAGCCAACUCUGACAUCAGUUCUGGAAUGUCUAGAAGACACUAAGAACAACAAUUUGGAAACUGUGAAUAGUAGAAUACAAUUUAAAAAGAAAAUGUGUGUCUUCUGUGCCAGGACCUGUGAUAAUUUGGUAUAAAAGACAAAAAGCUUCAUCAGCAAUUGAAGUCGGUGAUAUGUGGACUCUGCAGAUUAUAUAACCUUCCUAAGGACAGGGAUGUUGAGAUGC